UACGUAGGGGGCUAGCGUUGUCCGGAAUCAUUGGGCGUAAAGCGCGUGUAGGCGGUCCGGUAAGUCCGCUGUGAAAGUCGGGGGGCUCAACCCUCGGAUGCCGGUGGAUACUGUCGGCUCGAGUCCGGAAGAGGAGUGCGGAAUUCCCGGUGUAGCGGUGAAAUGCGCAGAUAUCGGGAGGAACACCAGUGGCGAAGGCGGCACUCUGGGGCCGGAACUGACGCGUGAGGAGCGAAAGCGUGGGGAGCGAAACAGG
rnacentral:rRNA from 1 species